UACGUAGGGUGCGAGCGUUAAUCGGAAUUACUGGGCGUAAAGCGUGCGCAGGCGGUUCGUUGUGUCGGCGGUGAAAGCCCCGGGCUUAACCUGGGAACGGCCGUUGAAACUGGCGAACUGGAGUGUGGCAGAGGGGGGUGGAAUUCCGCGUGUAGCAGUGAAAUGCGUAGAGAUGUGGAGGAACACCGAUGGCGAAGGCAGCCCCCUGGGCUGACACUGACGCUCAGGCACGAAAGCGUGGGGAGCAAACAGG
rnacentral:rRNA from 1 species